AUUAACGGUCGAAGUAAAAACAUGUUUUUUAUUCGGUAGUUUUGCCCCGUUUAACGUUCACCCACAAACGGCAACUCUGUGCAAACACUCGGCGAGCAACGAGUUCUGAAAUCUGCACAGCAACAAUCGCCCUGGUAACUGGCGCGCGCGCCGUUUCUGUCCAAUAAAAAUCGCCUGCCUCGAAAAAACGGCGUGGGUUACCAGUGAACAGAUGUGAAGGUAAAUGGACCAAAAGAAGGUGCUCUGUGUCUCCGUCUUCACUCCAAUCCGUUCAUCCCAGACUUCACUGUGAAGGAACGAAAGCAUGUCAGUGCAUUUUUCUGUCUCAUCUCAUUCACACGGAGGCAAAGAGCUGCCGCCAGCGCUGCACCGGCAGCAUGUGAUGCUCUAAAACGUAGACUUUAUGAGACAUUAAAUGCCGUUUUAUGAGAUAUUACACUUUAUGAUGUUGCUGAAGGCUCACGUGCAUUUGAAAGGUUGCCAUAAUAUCCUGUUGUUGUUGUUGUUGCCUCAAAGUUGAAGCCAUCCGCGUUUAUUUAGCAAAAAAAAAGUUAUCGUCUCUCACAUAUAGACUUGAAUAGACAACUGAGUGUUAGUGACUGCCUUAAUCUGUUUGACCCUGCAUAAAGCCCACCAUUAGCUCACGUGACCAAAGCCUACACUCUUAAAAAUAAAGGUGCCAGAAAGGGUCCUUGCUUAUUGCCAUAGAAGAACCAUUUCUGGUUCCCUAAAGGACUUUUAUGUGGAUGGUUAUUUGGGGACUAUUUUUUUAUUUAAGGUUUAAAGAACCUCCACAUAAUGUAAAUGGAUAUGUAGGGAACUAAAAUGGUUCUUCUUUGGCACCUUUUUUAAGGCUUUAGUCUGGGACAAAAUUGCCAAUGGUUGAUCAACAUUAACAAUUCUGCUUAGUCUAGGCUUAGCUUUAAUCUGGGUCUGGGAAACCGGCCCUUAAUGUUCACGAUCCUUUGCCUAUGGGCACCGGUUUUAUUUUGUCGUGUUUCUUGAUAGCCUAUUUGAUAAAGAGUAGUAAACUUAUGAGAACUAAUGGAGCACCAAAAAUAAAAAUGAUGGGUCACUUCUAAUAUUGGACGCAACUUUUUUUUAAUUUCGUCACAAAUGAGUCAACAAUAAGGAUAAGAGAUCCAGAUUUGAGGUCUGCAUGAAUGCUAAAUGACCCAGGAUCGUGAGUUUCACUCAGGGAUGCACCACUCUGUGUUCACAGUUUGGUAGUUCCCCUCCUCAAACACCACCCAUUAAACCUGGCUAUCAGCAAAUGAGUGUAAUCAGGUGUGUCUGGGCAGGUAAAUCACCAAACUCUGCUGGACACCAGCCCUCCAGGACCAGCUCCCCUGGUUUACCUCCUUAAACUGCAGGGUUAUUAUUAUGUAUUACUGCACUCUAAAAAGGGAUGUGUUAAAUUUAAACUUGUGUUAUCCAUUUUAACACUUUCUGUAUCAUACUGUUUUGUGAUUUAACACGUUCUGUGUUAAAAGUAACCCAAAAAUAUGUCAUCCAUAACUGUGUGUAUAAAUAUUUCAACACAUUUUAUGUUAAAACCAAUGCAAAACGUGUCGUCUCCAACUGAACACACUGAUGUGUCUAGUUAGAGACAGAAUGUGUUGUUUUUUUUUUCCAACACGUUUUAAGAGGUUAAUGUGUUAAAACUAAGUUUUGUAGUUAUGGGAGUGAGGGAACUGGAGUGUGGACCUACAUACGGACCCUCGCAGUUUAAGGGGUUAAUUUUUCAAAUGGCCAAAUGUUAAUUAGCGGAGGUUUCGGUUUAGUCUUGGCUGCGCUGGAGUGUUUAAAAACUAGACGCAUUAUUUAUUACUUUAAUCGAGUGAAAAGUCGUUGACCGUGACGGAGCCGUUGCGUAAGGCUGAAUUUCGCAGAAAUAGCGUUUCAGAUUUUUCUUUUAACAGCUUCUGUCCGAAGGCUGAGCGGAAACCAUCGAGUUGCGCUUCGCCGUUCGAGAUGCUCGGAAGUUUCUUCCGAAUGUUUUCCUCCAAAAGCCCAAGUCUUGUUGCGCUGGACGUAAGAAAAAUCCCAGUUCCACGAGCGACCUGCGAAAUCUGAUGGAGCCUCGGUGGACCCUCAUUCCACCAUCUCAGUGCUGAUUUCCUCAGUGGAGAAGAACUGUCUGCAAGGGCCGCUGCGACCGAAACAGACGAACCAAAACCUCUCCAAUAUUCUUGGCCUGCUGGUGGAAAAGGGGACUUUAGUUUAAUCAGCACCUGCGAGGAUUCUGUUGAAAUAUUCUUGCCAUCAACGAACCACAUGUAUUUAAACAAACACAGAAAAGUUUAAAAAAAAAUGGAACGAAUUCCUGAAGUGAUCGUAUCAACUUUUUUCCAUUCAUUGUGAAAUCCCGAAAAAAAAAGCCGUCAUGCGAUGCAACACCCUGAGGCAGUUUAAGGUUUCCCAGAAGAUGGCGAUGCUGUGUUAUUUAGGGCAAUAUCAGUGCGUGUGUGGGGGAGAUAUGAUGACCAUUUUUUAUCAUUUGAGCCAACCUUGCCUCGUUUUUAACAUUUAGCAGUCAUGCAUAUUUAGAAGGUUUUAGUAUGUGUGCGUUGCUCAGCCAGGUUAAGCCAUUUGGGACACUUCAUCCCCCCCCACCAAAAAGAACCACAGCUUCUCAAGAACAUGACCUGCCAGGCCUUAGAAAGAUUUCUGAAUGUCUUAAGAAUUUGGCCCUGGUGAAUAGAAAUGUAACCAUCCAGAUUAUGCAUAAUUUUGAUAGCUUUAUACAUGACUUGUAACACCUGAUAUGUACAGCCUAAGCCAUCCAAGUUGUAUAAGGACCACAUGACUCAAUUUUAUUUGACAAUACUUUAUUUGUUUUCUUGUACAAUAAAUAAAUUGUCAUCUGUUCACCAAACAGG